GACGAACGCUGGCGGCGUGCUUAACACAUGCAAGUCGAACGGAAAGGCCCUGCUUUUGUGGGGUGCUCGAGUGGCGAACGGGUGAGUAACACGUGAGUAACCUGCCCUUGACUUUGGGAUAACUUCAGGAAACUGGGGCUAAUACCGGAUAGGAGCUCCUGCUGCAUGGUGGGGGUUGGAAAGUUUCGGCGGUUGGGGAUGGACUCGCGGGUUAUCAGCUUGUUGGUGGGGUAGUGGCUUACCAAGGCUUUGACGGGUAGCCGGCCUGAGAGGGUGACCGGCCACAUUGGGACUGAGAUACGGCCCAGACGCCUACGGGAGGCAGCAGUGGGGAAUAUUGCACAAUGGGCGGAAGCCUGAUGCAGCAACGCCGCGUGCGGGAUGACGGCCUUCGGGUUGUAAACCGCUUUCGCCUGUGACGAAGCGUGAGUGACGGUAAUGGGUAAAGAAGCACCGGCUAACUACGUG
rnacentral:rRNA from 1 species